rnacentral:rRNA from 1 species
CAGCAGCCGCGGUAAUACGAAGGGGGCUAGCGUUGUUCGGAUUUACUGGGCGUAAAGCGCACGUAGGCGGAUUCUUUAGUCAGAGGUGAAAUCCCAAGGCUCAACCUUGGAACUGCCUUUGAUACUGGGGAUCUUGAGUUCGGGAGAGGUGAGUGGAACUGCGAGUGUAGAGGUGAAAUUCGUAGAUAUUCGCAAGAACACCAGUGGCGAGGCGGCUCACUGGCCCGAUACUGACGCUGAGGUGCGAAAGCGUGGGGAGCAAACAGGAUUAGAGACCCCAGUAGUCCCUGUCUCUUAUCCA